rnacentral:rRNA from 1 species
GACGAACGCUGGCGGCGUGCUUAACACAUGCAAGCCGAACGCUGUAGCUUGGUGCUUGCCUUGGGUGGAUGAGUGGCGAACGGGUGAGUAAUACGUGAGUAACCUGUGAUUGACUCUGGGAUAAGCCUGGGAAAUUGGGUCUAAUACUGGAUACGACAUGCAUCCGUAUGGUGGUGUGUGGAUAGGGUUUUACUGGAGUUGGAUGGGCUCACGGCCUAUUAGUUUGUUGGUGGGGUACUGGCUCACCAAGGCGACGACGGGUAGCCGGCCUGAGAGUGUGACCGGCCACACUGGGACUGAGAUACGGCCCAGACUCCUACGGGAGGCAGCAGUGGGGAAUAUUGCACGAUGGGCGGAAGCCUGGUGCAGCAACGCCGCGUGAGGGAUGACGGCCUUCGUGUUGUAAACCUCUUUCAGCACGGAAGAAGCGAAAGUGACGGUACGUGCAGAAGAAGCGCCGGCUAACUACGUG